CUAUCUCAGAUUUUAUUUUUUUUAAAAAAGGCUCCAAUACAAGGCCCCAGAGUAGUGCAUGCAAAUCAACGACCCUCAAAGUGACAGUCAUUGUCAGAUAACAAGCACAAUCUGCUACAGUCUGUGACCUGGUAAAGAGACCACCUUUUCAUUUUGAGUCCCAUCACCAACUAUGCCAAUGUCCAACCUACCACACAGCUCACAAUGACUCAGAGGUACAUUUUAGUAUCUGAACAGCAAAGACAUAUUGAGCUGCAAGUACAAUGAGUAAGUAUCCUUAGUGUAUUAGACAGGGUAAAUACAAACAAGGCAUAAAAGGGAAAAGCCAACUUCAUCUGAUGCCUGAAUCCCUAAGUCUCUUCCAUCUUUUCUCAUGAUCUGUGUCUAGGGAGAUCUGCUAUGCCAUAUCAAGACCUUGCUCAUCUGGUGAUGAGACGGGGCUGUUUGCCUUGGAAGACUAAAGAAAGGGUGAAUAUUCACAUGAGGUAAGAACUUGAAGUUGUGGUUAUAAUACAUAGGCCAAGUUUGCCUGCUGUCAACCCAUCUCUGUAACUCCAACUUUGUGCCUGCAUGAAUUCUGCGACAUGGUACAGCUGAUGGGUAGAGAAUUCUAACUCCUGUGAUGUAUUUACAGGAGAAGAUAAUCGUGGAAGAAUUAAAUGGAAGAAUUCAUAGAAGAAUACAGCCAUGGAUAAACUUAAUCAAAAGAAUAUGAUUUUAGUUUGGUUUAGUAUAUUCAAUCAGUCAGUUUUGUUUGUUUUUUGUGAGACGGAGUCUUGCUCUUGUCACCCAGGUUGGAGUGCAGUGGCGCAAUCUUGGCUCACUGCAACCUCCGCCUCCCAGGUUCAAGCGAUUCUCGUGCCUCAGCCUCCCUGAGUAGCUGGGAUUACAGGCGUCUGCCACCACGCCCAGCUAAUUUUUGUAUUUUUAGUAGACACGGGGUUUCACCAUGUUGGCCAUGCUAGUCUCAAAUUCCUGACCUCAGGUGAUCCACCCGUCUCGGCCUCCCAAAGUGCUGGGAUUACAGGAGUGAGCCACUGCACCCGGCCAGGCCUUUAAAAAUAGUUUUUAAAAAUGUUUCUUGUGUGUUUUUCAAUGCUUUUAGUUACUUACAGAUUGCUACCUGAGGUGAUUUGAGGGAAGGGUAUGUUUAGUGAAUUAGUCUUAAUCAAAAUCACUAGCUAAUUAAAAGAGAAAUGUUCUCACAAGAAAAAUAAUUAUGAUGGAAAGCAGCAAUUAGCUUCUGGAACUACCUGCUUUUCAGUUCAUCCUCUUUUCAGAGAAAUGAGACCCUAAGCAGGGAGGAGCCUACUGGCCAUCUGAGAAACCCUCUAGAGUAACAGAGAAAUGUCAUGGGCCUCAGGGAAGAAAAGAGGCCUGUACCAGGCAACAUCUUAGAUGCCUGGUUGCCAACUUCUCAAAACAACCCAUAACAACCAGCAGGGUUGGUAACUGGCUGACAUUCAUUAACACACUCAUAUGGCUGUUUGUGAACAGAUCCCAAAUGCAAAGCGUCCUUCACACACUUCUACCCACUCCCCAUCUCCACACCCCUAUACAAGAUCUUUUCAUUCAACCAAAAGGAUAAGAAAUGUGCUACAGAAAUGUGAACAUCAACACAAAUACAGAUUAUUUUUUCAUCAAGAGAGUUAAAACAUUCCCAUUAUCAAGAGGGGUCUUCACCAGAAUGUAACAAAAUGAAUUUCAGCUUUCACACCAGUAACCAGUGAAAGUAUGGCCUAGAGCUAGUUACACGGCAUAAAGUGACUAGUGGUCAGUUAUUGUUCAUUAGUUCAGAUGAGUAACUGCAGAAACUCUACCCAGAGCUGAGCACAUAUGGCUAUCAUGAUGUCAGAUGUCAGUUAAGAGUUAUGUUCCUGUAAACCAAAGCACCAGAGCUAAAUUAACAAUUUCCCUUUCUGGCCUUAAUUGACCAACAGUUUAAGUACUGUGGUGCUACCAGCACGAUCCUGGGUUGUGCUUCUUCAAACAUUUCAGUUUCUCAAUACUAACAUUGGUAAUAAAAUAUCUCAUCAGGGCGGGCACAGUGGCUCACCACUCUUAUUUUCUAAAAAGCUCAGGACCAGAUUCACAUUGAUACCCUGCACUGGGAGCUUAACUUCCUGAAAGAGACAAAAAAGAACUUAAACUGAGAAAAUAGACCCUGGUGAAAUAUUCCCAUCACCCCACCUUAAAAAGAGGUGCUGGGCUCUCCUGGGUCUAAACUCUCCCCUUCAUAGCAGCACCUCCCCCUUCUAUUGUACAGACAGGAAGUGCAGAGCAGGGGAGAGGCGGCCCCAGGUGAAAUGGAACUCACAGCCUACUAGGGAUGGACUUCUGUCAGAGCAGAAUAGAGCUCAGUGGAAUCUAUCUUCUCUGUCUUGGCUAAAGGAAGGGCUCUAAAAAGGCUGCCCUAUAAUACUGCAUAAGGAACCAAGACUAGGCAGUAGCAAAUGGACCCAAGAGGUACACAGCAGCCAUUUCUGCCCUGGGCCCAACAGAGCUGCAUUUAGUUAUAUCUCGGUAGUAAAAAUGUAAAGUCCCUUCAAAAGGGGUAAACCUCCGAUUACAAAAGAUAGUAAUAAUAAACAGGAAAAGCAGCAACUGAAUGCUGAUUCUCCCUGUUCUAGUUUCUAUUUUAUUAUUCAACUGUAGUGGAAAUACCUCAAAGUGCGCAACACAAAACAGCAGAUUCCUGCCCCUCACCUGUGUGCAUCUGAGUUCUCACCCUGCCACCUUCCCCAUCCAUCCUGCCUGCCCUCUGUCCUGCUCCACUGGCUCCUGCCAGACCCCUGGGCCCAAAGGUGCCCUCUCCACUGCUGGUCAGUCAGUGCCCCCCUUCUGCUUGGCCAGGGUGUGCUUCAGCUCCCGCAGAUUCUCUGUCAGCACCUCUACCUCAUCCAGGCGGCCGCACUGCUUGGCAUCAAAGAUGUAUGCCUUGAUGUUAUCGAUCUGCUGCAGGAGGAGCUCUUCCUCUAUGGGCUCCUCAGCCUCUGGCCCACUGUCACUGUCCAUCUCAAAGGGGUUGAUACAGGUGGGUUCCUCAAAGGGGUUACCAGGAACCAGAGGGCUUGAGAGCCUCUGCUGGGGAUGUUCGUCUUCCUCACUGAAGGGGUUAGGAGCUGGGCUGUCUGGCUGAAUGAAUGGAUUCCCUGCCACUGCUUCCUCCUCCUCGUCCUCUUCCUCGAAAGGAUUGUACUCUUUCAGGAUGCGGGCUGAAGGGUCUAAGGAAACCCCUGCAGCAGGAGGACCAGUAGUGGCCUCUUCCAUGGGGCUGGAGAGGUCUUCCUCAUCAAAGGGGUUUAAGGAGGGCCCCUCAUGUUGCUGUGGCAUGCUGCUCUGGGGUAAGCGCUCCUGGCCAACGGCUGGGGGCCCAGACCACACUCUGGUGGGUUGAGUUGAGCUAAGUGAAGGGGUCUUGGGAGCUGUGCUGCUUGGAACUGGGGAAGAGCCUAGAUCCAAAGCAUAAGCAAGGUGGGUGCGAGGCUCUCUGCUGGGCUCCAGCUGAAAAGGGCCGAUUUCUCUGAAGUCCAGGGACCGAGUCCGUGUGUGCAGGGAUGCCACCCGAAACUGCUCCCUUUCUCGUUCCAACUCCCGUUCACGCAACAUCUGCAGCUGUUCCCGCUGCAGGUCCUCCUCCUCAGCCUGCCUCCGGGACAGCUCGAUGGCCUUCUCUGUCU
rnacentral:lncRNA from 1 species